CCUACGGGAGACAGCAGUGGGGAAUAUUGCACAAUGGGGGAAACCCUGAUGCAGCGACGCCGCGUGAGUGAAGAAGUAUUUCGGUAUGUAAAGCUCUAUCAGCAGGGAAGAAAUAGCGACCUUUGGGUCGCCAGACGGUACCUGACUAAGAAGCCCCGGCUAACUACGUGCCAGCAGCCGCGGUAAGACGUAGGGGGCAAGCGUUAUCCGGAUUUACUGGGUGUAAAGGGAGCGUAGACGGCAGCACAAGUCUGAAGUGAAAUGCCGGGGCUUAACCCCGGAACUGCUUUGGAGACUGUGCAGCUAGAGUGCAGUAGAGGUAAGUGGAAGUCCUAGUGUAGCGGUGAAAUGCGUAGAUAUUAGGAGGAACACCAGUGGCGAAGGCGGCUUACUGGACUGUAACUGACGUUGAGGCUCGAAAGCGUGGGGAGCAAACAGGAUUAGAUACCCCUGUAGUC
rnacentral:rRNA from 1 species